rnacentral:rRNA from 1 species
UACGGAGGAUGCAAGCGUUAUCCGGAUUCAUUGGGUUUAAAGGGUGCGCAGGUGGGAUAGUAAGUCAGUGGUGAAAUACUGCCGCUUAACGGUAGAACUGCCAUUGAUACUGCUAUUCUUGAGUAUGGUUGAGGUAGGCGGAAUGUGUUGUGUAGCGGUGAAAUGCAUAGAUAUGACACAGAACACCGAUUGCGAAGGCAGCUUACUAAGCCAUUACUGACGCUGAGGCACGAAAGCGUGGGGAGCGAACAGG